rnacentral:rRNA from 1 species
AACGGCCGCGGUACUCUGACCGUGCGAAGGUAGCAUAAUCACUUGUUCUUUAAUUAAGGACUAGCAUGAACGGCAUCACGAGGGCCUUACUGUCUCCUUUCUCCAAUCAGUGAAACUGAUCUCCCCGUGAAGAAGCGGGGAUUAUACUAUAAGACGAGAAGACCCCAUGGAGCUUUAAACCCAACAGACAACCUUUAGCCCCUCACCCCCCAAAACUUUUAGGCCCUGUCUGCUGGUUUUAGGUUGGGGUGACCGCGGAGUAAAACUUAUCCUCCACAAUGUAUGGGACUCCUCCCCUUAUCCACGAGCCACUGCUCUAAGAAUCAACAAAUUGACAACAAAUGAUCCAAUUUUCUGAUCAAUGAACCAAGUUACCCUGGGGAUAACAGCGCAAUC